rnacentral:rRNA from 1 species
UACGUAGGGUGCAAGCGUUGUCCGGAAUUAUUGGGCGUAAAGAGCUCGUAGGCGGUCUGUCGCGUCGGCUGUGAAAACCCGGAGCUCAACUCCGGGCCUGCAGUCGAUACGAGCAGACUGGAGUUCGGCAGGGGAGACUGGAAUUCCUGGUGUAGCGGUGAAAUGCGCAGAUAUCAGGAGGAACACCGGUGGCGAAGGCGGGUCUCUGGGCCGAAAUUGACGCUGAGGAGCGAAAGCGUGGGGAGCAAACAGG